rnacentral:rRNA from 1 species
AUUGAACGCUGGCGGCAUGCUUUACACAUGCAAGUCGAACGGUAACAGGCCGCAAGGUGCUGACGAGUGGCGAACGGGUGAGUAAUGCAUCGGAACGUGCCCAGUCGUGGGGGAUAACGCAGCGAAAGCUGUGCUAAUACCGCAUACGAUCUAUGGAUGAAAGCGGGGGACCGUAAGGCCUCGCGCGAAUGUAGCCGCCGAUGUCAGAUUAGGUAGUUGGUGGGGUAAAGGCUCACCAAGCCAACGAUCUGUAGCUGGUCUGAGAGGACGACCAGCCACACUGGGACUGAGACACGGCCCAGACUCCUACGGGAGGCAGCAGUGGGGAAUUUUGGACAAUGGGCGCAAGCCUGAUCCAGCAAUGCCGCGUGCAGGAAGAAGGCCUUCGGGUUGUAAACUGCUUUUGUACGGAACGAAAAGGUUUGGGUUAAUACCCUGGGCCGAUGACGGUACCGUAAGAAUAAGCACCGGCUAACUACGUGCCAGCCGCCGCCGUAA